rnacentral:rRNA from 1 species
UUAAUUGAAGAGUUUGAUCAUGGCUCAGAUUGAACGCUUGCGGCAGGCCUAACACAUGCAAAUCGAACGGUAAAAGGGAGCAGCGUGCUGCUCUGCUGACGAGUGGGGGACGGGUGAGUAAUGUCGAGGAAACUGCCUG